AGAAAGUGGCAUACCUAACCUGAUCGAGGUCACCUGGAAAAAAAAGUUGCAAACAAAUGCGUCGGCGGGCGCCGGCCGGGCCUACGGAGCGGAAGACGAAGCCCCAUACGCUCGAGGACCGGACGCGGUGCCGCCGCUGCCUUUCGGGCCCGUCCCCCGGGAGCCGGGGGACGAGGGCCCAACACACAAGCCGGGCUUGAGGGCAGCAAUGACGCUCGGACAGGCAUGCCCCCCGGAAUACCAGGGGGCGCAAUGUGCGUUCAAAGACUCGAUGAUUCACUGAAUUCUGCAAUUCACAUUAGUUAUCGCAUUUCGCUGCGUUCUUCAUCGAUGCCGGAACCAAGAGAUCCAUUGUUGAAAGUUUUAACUGAUUGCAAAGAAUCACACUCAGACUGCAAGCUUUCAGAACAGGGUUCAUGUUGGGGUCUCCGGCGGGCACGGGCCCGGGGGUGUUACUACUACCGACAGAGAAACAAAGAGGGCACACCGAAAAAAAAUAAAUGAAAAACUAUACUUUAACGGAAGGAAAAGGCAA
rnacentral:misc_RNA from 1 species